GCCCAACCAUAAACUUUGAUAAUAAGAUACAAAUAUUAUCCGCCAGGGAACUACAAGCGCAUUGCUCGAAACCCAACGGACUUGGCGGUGCCCCACACCCACCUAGAGGAGCCUGUUCUGUAACUGACAAUCCCCGUUUAACCUCACCACCCCUAGCUUAAUCAGUCUAUAUACCACCGUCGUAAGCUCACCCUGUGAAGGCCCAAUAGUAAGCAAGAUGGGCACAACCCAACACGUCAGGUCGAGGUGUAGCACAUGGGGCGGGAAGAAAUGGGCUACAUUUUCUGCCCAACAGAAUAUUAACGAAUAACAACAUGAAACUGUUGUUUAAAGGAGGAUUUAGCAGUAAAAAGAAAAUAGAGAGUUCUUUUGAAGCCGGCCCUGGGGCGCGC
rnacentral:rRNA from 1 species